rnacentral:tRNA from 1 species
UGGCUAGAUCGUUGGUUUCCGGUACCAAAGGCCGGGAGUUCGAACCUCCCCGUGCUCG